UACGUAGGGGGCAAGCGUUGUCCGGAAUUAUUGGGCGUAAAGAGCUCGUAGGCGGCCUGUCGCGUCGGCUGUGAAAACCCGAGGCUCAACCUCGGGCCUGCAGUCGAUACGGGCAGGCUAGAGUUCGGUAGGGGGAGACUGGAAUUCCUGGUGUAGCGGUGAAAUGCGCAGAUAAUCAGGAGGAACACCGGUGGCGAAGGC
rnacentral:rRNA from 1 species